rnacentral:lncRNA from 1 species
GAUUUGCUCCAGUGCCUCUUGAUUUCUUCAUGCUGGCUGUGUCCUUGCAACAGAACCUGUAUACAAAGGAGAAAUGGGAUGAUGUGCAGCCACUUCCAGUUGAAGUAAAUGACUCCAAAACUGCAGACCAAGACCCUGAACUCAAACAGGAGGAUACAAAUAAAUCUUCCACUGACCUUAUGGCAUUGGUUAAGACACCUCAUCCUCUUGGAGAGUCCUUAAGGCCUACUGUCUUCUUCAAGUCAUUGGAAGACUACUUCUCCUUCCUCUAUGUCAAGCAACCAGCAGAAACGAGCCAAAAUGGCCCUAAUAAUGUAGAAGGAUUUUCCGACAAAGCCCUGUCUUGCGAAGUUCUACAUGCCUCUCUUCUGCUUAUGGCUGCACCAUUUAUGCUGGACAACCGUAACAGUGAUGAGAAAAUGAAGAACAAAGACCUUCCUGAGAAUCUUGCACUUGUGCAGUGCAGUGCCAGAGCACUGUCUGAGCAAGAGAUGUCCUGCAAGCUCUACGUCCCUCCUACCACGUUAUCUGCAGUGUUGGCAGCUGCUGCACGCUUAGCCACUUGUCGUGGCUACUUCCACUGGCUCCCAGGCCCAAGAAAGGAACUGUAAGAAGAGGUGAGAGAAGCAGAUGGAGCUGUUGCUGAGAAGGGCUCUGUGGAGCAGUGAAAUAUUACUGUACUGUCAUUCUUUUAAUUAAAAAGCACUUGCUUGAAAAACUUGCGUGACAUCUUCUCAGACAUGCCCGGUGCCUGUAGCAUGUUAC